UGUGUUGGAGCCCCGUAAGGGGUGACAGCUUGCCUUUUGCAUAAUGAGUCUGCGAGUUAUUGUCAGUGGCCAGCCUAAGGUUCUCUGAACUGAAGGCGAAGGGAAACCGAGUGCCAAUAGCGCGAUCAGUCGCUGGCAAUAGACCCGAAGCGGAGGUGAUCUACUCUUGAGCAGGUUGAAGCUGCAGUAACAUGCAGUGAAGGACCGAACUCGUGGAUGUUGAAAAAUCCUGAGAUGACUUGAGAGUAGGAGCGAAAGACUAAUCAAACCCCGUGAUAGCUGGUUCUCUCCGAAAUCGCUUGAGGGCGAGUCUUCUGGAAGUACCCGGCGGAGGUAGAGCACUGAAUGGCUUAGGGGCCCCACCAGGCUGCCAAAACCAAUCAAACUCCGAAUACCGUCGGUCCCAUUAUCAGAGGAAUCAGGCAGUAGGUGAUAAGAUCAAUUGCCGAGAGGGCAACAGCCCAGACCAUCAGCUAAGGUGCCUAAAUGUGAUUAAGUGGAAAGGAUGUGACGUUGCUUAGACAGUGAGGAUGUUGGCUUAGAGGCAGCCAUCAUUUAAACAGUGCGUAAUAGCUGACUCAUCGAGCGAUGUCGCGCCGAAAAUGAUUGGCGAUUAAAUCACAUACCGAAGCUAUGGAUUGAAACGGUUUUCGAACUGUUUCAGUGGUAGGAGAGCGUAAUCAACGCUGCGAAGCUGGACGGAAACGGAAAGUGGAGCGUUGAUUAGUGAGAAUGCAGACACGAGUAGCGAUAAAACAGGUGAGAAUCCUGUUCGCCGUAAACCCAAGGUUUCCUGGGCCAGGUUCGUCCUCCCAGGGUUAGCCGGGAGCUAAGAUGAGACCGUAAGGUGUAAUCGAUGCACAGCAGGUUAAAUAUUCCUGCGCUUGCCCGGGUUAAGACUGUGAAUGACACAUGGGAUCACAUCAACUAGACAAUUGAAUGUUGAGCUUAGGGUUCGCCCGAAGCGUAUUGGUGGGGUCCUGUGUCGAGAAAAGUUCGCAGUUGUUCCCCGGACAACCCGUACCGUAAACCGACACAGGUGGGUGAGUGUAAGCGCACUCAGGCGCGCGAGAGAAACCUCUCUAAGGAACUCGGCACAUUAGCCUCGUAACUUCGGGAGAAGAGGUGCUCACUUCGGUGAGCCUCAGUAAAUUGCGUUUAGCGACUGUUUAACAAAAACACAGCACUCUGCCAAGUCGUGAAGACGACGUAUAGGGUGUGACACGUGACCAAUGCGGAAAGAUCAAACCAUCUUGUUAGCCGCAAGGCGAAGCUCGGUGGCCAAGUCCCCGUGAAUGUCGGCCGUAACUAUAACGGUCCUAAGGUAGCGAAAUUCCUUGUCGGGUAAGUUCCGACCUGCACGAAUCUUGUAACGACUGAACGACUGUCUCGGAGAGGUUCUCGGCGAAACUGUAACGGCGGUGAAGAUGCCGCCUGCCCGCAGUAGGACGGAAAGACCCUAUGCACCUUU
rnacentral:rRNA from 1 species